rnacentral:rRNA from 1 species
GCGAACGGGUGAGUAAUACAUAGGUAACCUGCCCCUGUGCGGGGGAUAACAGGAGGAAACUCCUGCUAAUACCGCAUAGCCAUGAGCACCGCAUGGAGCUCAUGCCAAAUAUCCUUUCGGGGAUAGCGCAGGGAUGGACCUAUGGCGCAUUAGCUUGUUGGCGGGGCAACGGCCCACCAAGGCAACGAUGCGUAGCCGGCCUGAGAGGGCGGACGGCCACAUUGGGACUGAGACACGGCCCAGACUCCUACGGGAGGCAGCAGUAGGGAAUUUUCGGCAAUGGGGGAAACCCUGACCGAGCAACGCCGCGUGAGCGAAGAAGGCCUUCGGGUCGUAAAGCUCUGUUGUAAAGGAAGAACGGCGCAUACAGGAAAUGGUAUGCGAGUGACGGUACUUUACCAGAAAGCCACGGCUAACUACGUGCCAGCAGCCGCGGUAAUACGUARGUGGCGAGCGUUAUCCGGAAUCAUUGGGCGUAAAGAGGGAGCAGGCGGCCGCAAGGGUCUGUGGUGAAAGCCCGAAGCUAAACUUCGGUAAGCCAUGGAAACCGGGCGGCUAGAGUGCGGAAGAGGAUCGUGGAAUUCCAUGUGUAGCGGUGAAAUGCGUAGAUAUAUGGAGGAACA